GAGGCAUGGUGGAGAUCUGGAGGGAAGGCACUCUGCCUGAAUCCUUCUGCCUUUCUAGUAACUAAAUUUGGCAUGUGGUGAUGCUCCUGUCACAAAGAGGUCUCUGCAUGCUAUCUUUAGCAUGUGUGCCAUAGUUUUGCCAUCACAGGGCUAUACCAUAUUACCUGUCAUAUUAGGGAAAGAGAAGGAGCAGGGGUGACAGAGAAAAUAUGUAUCACUAAAUGUCAGAAAACUAGUAUUAAAAAUUGUAACAGAAGAGAUUGUGUGGAGAUGGCAGAGUAGUGUUGAGUUUCCUAAUUCUCCUAAUAUCCCCCUCCCCACAAUCAAUCAAAAAUAACUCCGUAGAAUCAAUGCUAGAAGUGGCAAAGAUCCACAGCAAUUGAGAUUAAAUCUAGAAAGGCAGGAGAAAAGAGGGAGGAUUUCUAAAUUCUAGUACCCCAGUCCCACCUCUAUAGGACUUUCAGGCAUAAACAGAGUAAACAAACUAUAAUCAACCAACAACAAAACACAAGGAAACCCCCGGGGAACAGGAUCAACAACCUCAUUUUGUUUUUUGAGCUCUCCUUUCAUCACUCAGUAUACCACAGAAAUAAAUCUGAAGGCAGAGGGAUCUGGAAGAAGCUGUGUCCUCCAUUUUCUCAGCUACGGGAACAUCUGCUCAUCUAUAGGUGGGGAUUGAAGGAAUAGAUACCAUAAAGUUAAUAGGCACCAAGUUUUAAGGGCAGGAUUUCAAAUCUCAACACUAACAAACAUGGGAUUUUGGAGGUCUGAGAAACCUGGACUAAAUGUCUGCUGUAACCCAGGCUAUAACAGUAGGAGAGAAAGAGAGAGGAAGAAGCAUGCACUGAGCAUCCAGAGCCAAAAACUCUGAUGAGGAAAAAAAAUCACAAAGGCCAACAACCUGACCUGUUCAGGAAGUAUGAUGGGAUACCAUAGAAUUUCCAACAGAAAUUGAGACCUGUUUCCAUUUAAAA